UACGAAGGGUGCAAGCGUUACUCGGAAUUACUGGGCGUAAAGCGUGCGUAGGUGGUUUGUUAAGUCUGCUGUGAAAGCCCCGGGCUCAACCUGGGAAUGGCAGUGGAUACUGGCAAGCUAGAGUGCGGUAGAGGGUAGUGGAAUUCCCGGUGUAGCGGUGAAAUGCGUAGAGAUCGGGAGGAACACCAGUGGCGAAGGCGGCUACCUGGACCAGCACUGACACUGAGGCACGAAAGCGUGGGGAGCAAACAGG
rnacentral:rRNA from 1 species